AGUGAACGCUGGCGGUAGGCCUAACACAUGCAAGUCGAACGGCAGCACAGUAAGAGCUUGCUCUUACGGGUGGCGAGUGGCGGACGGGUGAGGAAUACAUCGGAAUCUACUUUUUCGUGGGGGAUAACGUAGGGAAACUUACGCUAAUACCGCAUACGACCUACGGGUGAAAGCAGGGGAUCUUCGGACCUUGCGCGAUUGAAUGAGCCGAUGUCGGAUUAGCUAGUUGGCGGGGUAAAGGCCCACCAAGGCGACGAUCCGUAGCUGGUCUGAGAGGAUGAUCAGCCACACUGGAACUGAGACACGGUCCAGACUCCUACGGGAGGCAGCAGUGGGGAAUAUUGGACAAUGGGCGCAAGCCUGAUCCAGCCACACUGCGUGGGUGAAGAAGGCCUUCGGGUUGUAAAGCCCUUUUGUUGGGAAAGAAAAGCAGCAGGUUAAUACCCCGCUGUUCUGACGGUACCCAAAGAAUAAGCACCGGCUAACUUCGUG
rnacentral:rRNA from 1 species